rnacentral:rRNA from 1 species
UACGUAGGUGGCAAGCGUUGUCCGGAUUUACUGGGUGUAAAGGGAGAGUAGGCGGCAUGGUAAGUUAGAUGUGAAAGCCUCGGGCUUAACCUGAGGAUUGCAUUUAAAACUAUCAAGCUAGAGUACAGGAGAGGAAAGCGGAAUUCCUAGUGUAGCGGUGAAAUGCGUAGAGAUUAGGAAGAACACCAGUGGCGAAGGCGGCUUUCUGGACUGUAACUGACACUGAGGCAUGAAAGCGUGGGGAGUAAAC